UCUCUCAAAACUAUUGACUCAUAACUGUAGCCAUAGCAGCUGAGGAACAAUCCAUAUCCAUAAAAUAUAUGCAUGAUGUUAUGCUUUUUGGUACUCACAAAACUAGGGACUAGACAUUAAAUCUCUUUCACAUCUGUCACAGUUAAAUAAAACCACAUAAAGAAGUAGUGGAAGUGGGGAAGGGAGAAGGAAGAGACUUUGGUCAAAGGAUACCCAAUUUCAGUUAGAUAAAAGGAUAUAAGUUCAAGAGUUCUCUUAUAUAACAUAGUAUGUGUAGUUAAUAGCAAACACCAUAUUCUUACAAAUUGCUAAGAAAAUAGAUUUUAAGUGCUCUCACUACAAAAAAAUCGUAAGUAUGUCAGGUUAUGUAUGUUAAUUAGCUCAAUUCACCAAUUUUGCAGUAUAUCUAUAUAUAUAUAUAAAACAACAUGUUUUCAAUUUUUUUAUUUGUUGAACUUAUAGAAAACAACAGCAGCCCAAUGGAAGACCAGUCUGACUGUUAAAAGAAAAACAAACAAAUAGAAAACAGCAACAACAACAAAAAGGACCCCACAAAAACCCCAUUCAGAGGUCAGCAACCUCAAAGAAUGAAGGCAGAUAAGCCCACAAAGAUGAGAAAGGAUCAAUGCAACAAUGCAGAAAACUCAUAAGGCAAUGAUGCAGAAAACUCAAAAAGCAGCAAUGUAGAAAACUCGAAGAGCUCCCCCAAAUGACUGCAACACCUCUCCAGCAAGGGCAUAAAACCAAGCUGAGGCUGAAAUGGCUGAAUUGACAAAAGUAGGCUCCAUAAUAUGAGUAAUAAUGAACUUUGCUGAGCUAAAGGAACAUGUUGUAACCCAAUGAAAAGAAGCUAAAAAUCAUGAUAAACAAUAGGGGAACUGAUAGCCAAAAUAGCCAGUUUAGAGAGAAACCCAGCUGAGCUAUUAGAGCUGAAAAAACACAACAAAAGAACUUCACAAUGCAAUCACAAGUAUCAAUAGCAGAAUAAACCAAGUGGAAGAAAGAAACUGAGUUUGAAGACUAUCUUUCUGAAAUAAGACUGGCAGACAAAAAUAGAGAAAAAAGAAUGAAAAGGAAUGAACAAAACUUCCAAGAAAUAUGGGACUAUGUAAAGAGACCAAACCUACGACUGAUUGGGGUACCUGAAAGAGAUGGGGAGAAUGGAACCAAUUGGAAAAUAUACUUCAGGAUACCAUCCAGGAGAACUUCCCCAACCUAGCAAGACUGGCCAACAUUCAAAUUCAGAAACUGCUGAGAACCCCCAGUAAGAUACUCCACAAAAACAUCAACCCCAAGACACACAAUUAUUAGAUUCUCCAAAGUCAAAAUGACAGAAAAAACAAAAACAAAAAAAACAUUAAGGGCAGCCAGAGAGAAAGACCAGGUCACCUACAAAGGGAAGCCCAUCAGACUCACAGCAGACCUCUCAGCAGAAACCCUGCAAGCCAGAAAAGAUUGGGGGCCAAUAUUCGACAUUCUUAAAGAAAAGAAUUUCCAAUCCAGAAUUUCAUAUCCAGCCAAACCGAGCUUCAUAAGCAAGAGAGAAAUAAUAUCCUUUUCAGACAAGCAAAUCCUGAGGGAAUUCAUCACCACCAGGCCUGCCUUGCAAGAGCUCUGAAGGAAGGACUAAAUAUGGAAAGGAUAAACCAUUACGAGCCACUAAAAAAGCACACUGAAGUACACAGAUCAGUGAAACUAUGAAGCAUCCAUAUAACCAGCUAGCAUCAUGAUGACAGGAUCAAAUCACACAGAUCAACAUUACCCUUAAAUGUAAGUGGGUAAAUGCCCCAAUUAAAAGACACAAAUGGCAAGCUGGAUAAAGAGUCAAGAUCCAUUGGUGUGCUGUCUUUAGGAGACCCAUCUCACAUGCAAAGACACACAUAGGCUCAAAAUGGAGGGAUAGCGAAAAUUUACCAAGCAAAUAGAAAACAGAAGAAAAGCAGGGUUUGCAAUCCUAGUUUCUGACAAUCAGACUUUAAAGACAAAGCCCACAUGAUUGUCUCAAUAGAUGCAGAAAAAGCCUUGGAGAAAAUUCAACAUCCCUUCAUGUUAAAAACUCUCAAUAAACUAGGUAUUAAAGAUACAUAACUUAAAAUAAUAAGAGCCAUAUAUGACAAACCCACAGGCAAUAUCAUACUGAAUGGCAAAAGCUGGAAGCAUUUCCCUUGAAAAGCAGCACAAGACAAGGAUGACUUCUCCCACCACUCUUAUUCAACAUAGAAUUGGAAAUUCUGGAUGGGGUAAUCAGGCAAAAGAAAGAAAUAAAGCGUAUUCAGAUAGAAAGAGAGGAAGUCAAAUUAUCUUUGUUUGCAGACAACAUGAUCCUAUAUCUAGAAAAUUUCAAAGUCUCAGCCCUAAAGCUUCUUCAACUGAUAAGCAGCUUUAGCAAAGUCUCAGGUUAGAAAAUCAAUGUGCAAAAAACAAAUCAUGAAUGAACUCCCAUUCACAAUUGUUGCAAAAAGAAUAAAUACCUACAAAUACAGCUAACAACAAAAGUGAAGGACCUCUUCAAUGAGAUCUACAAACCACUGCUUAAAGAAAUCAGAGAAAAUAGAAACAAAUGAGAAACAUUACAUGCUCAUGGAUAGGAAGAAUAAAUAUUGUGAACAUGGCCAUACAGUCCAAAGCAAUUUAUAGAUUCAAUGCUAUUCUCAUUAAGUUGCCAUUGACAUUCUUCACAGAAUUAGAAAGAGUAUUUUAAAAUUCAUGUGGAAUCAAAAAAGAGCCCACAUAGCAAAGAAAAUCCUAAGCAAAAAGAACAAAGCUAGAGGCAUCAUGCUGCCCAACUUCAAACAGUACUACAAGGCUGCAGUAACCAAAACAGCAUGAUACUGGUACAAAAACAGACAUAUAAACCAAUGGAACACUAUAGAGAAUUCAGAAAUAAGGCUGCACACCUAAAACCAUCUGAUCUUUGACAGACCUGGCCAAAACAAGCUAUGGGGAAUGGAUUCCCUAUUUAAUAAAUGAUGUUGGGACAACUGGUUAGUCAUAUGCAGAAAAUUGAAAUUGGACCCCUUCAUAGCAUAGACAAAAAUUAACUCAAGAUGGAUUAAAGACUUAAAUGUAAUACCUAAAACUAGGAAAACCCUAGAAGAAAAUCUGGGCAAUACCAUUCAGGACAUAGGCAUGGGCAAAAAUUUCAUUAUGAAAAUGUAAAAGCAAUUGCAGCGAAAGCAAAAAUAGAUAAAUGAGAUCUAAUGAAACUAAAGAACUUCUGCACAGCAUAAGAAACUAUCAUCAGAGUGAAUGACAUCCUGCAGAGUGGGAGAAAAUUUUUUGCAAUCUAUCCAUCUGACAAAGAUCUAAUAUCCAGAGUCUACAAGGAACUUAAGCAAAUUUAAAGAAAAAAAACUCAUUAAAAAGUGGGCAAAGGACAUGAACAGACACUUCUCAAAAGAAGACAUACAUGUGGCUAAUGAACAUAUAUAAAAAGCUUAACAUCACUGAUCAUUAGAGAAAUGCAAAUCAAAACCACAGUGAGGUACCAUCUCACACCAGUCCGAAUGGUGAGUAUUAAAAAGUCAAGAAACAACAGAUGCAGGUGAGGCUGUGGAGAAAUAGGAACACUUUUACACUGUUGGUGGGAAUAUAAAUUAGUGCAACCGUUGUGUUAGACAGUGUGGCAAUUCCUCCUAGACCUAGAACAGAAAUAUCAUUUGAUGCAGUAAUGCCAUAACUGGGUGUAUACCCAAAGGAACAUAAAGUGUAGUAUUAUAUUAUAUUUAUAUUAUAAAGAUGCAUGCACAUGUAUACUUAUUGCAGCACUAUUCACAAUACAAAAGAUACAGAAUCAACCUAAGUGCCCAAAGUGCGGUAUAAAUACACCAUGGAACAUAAUGCAGCCAUUAAAAGGAAUAAGAUCAUGUCCUUUGCGGGAACAUGGAUGGAGUUGUAGGCCAUUAUCUUCAGCAAACUAAUGCAGGAACAGAAAACCAAACACCGCAUGUUCUCACUUAUAAGUGGGAGCUGAAUGAUGAGAAUGCUUGGACACAGAGAGGAGAACAACACACAGUGGGUCUCGUUGAAGGGGAGGCGUGGGGGAAGGAAGAGCAUCAGGGAGAAUAGCUAAUGGACUCUGGGCUUAAUACCUAGGCGAUGGGAUAAUUUGUGCAGCAAACCAACAUGGCACACAUUUACCUAUGUAACAAAUCUGCACAUCCUGUACAUGUAUCCCUGAACUUAAAAUAAAAUUGAAGAAAAAAGAGAAGCCUUGGAAGUAGAAGAAUCAUAGUCUCCAACUAAGCUUGUUUAAUUAAUGUCACUUUUCAAACCCCAUGCAUGUAUGAAUGUAUGGUAUAAUAUUAAAGAAACCAAGCAGUAAUGAAGGCUAAGAAAUGUCAUUCCUAGCACUUCCUCCAGAAAAUAUGGAGUAGACACACCACAAAGGGUUGGAAAAAAACAAGGAAUGAGAAUUAGGAGGACAAACAAAGUCUUCUAUGGUGAAUGAGUAAAGAAAAACAAAAUUUCAAAAGUCGCUCAAAUCAUAAAGUUCUAAGAAGAAAAGAUGAAAACAUGAGUGUAGCAGAGACUGCUAGUUUUAGCCCAAUAUCCAUUCAUUUUUGCCAGUGAAACUCUGUGAAUUUUAGAUGGACUUGUGACCACCUUUCGGGAUACUGUAUUUUUUGAAUUGCCUCAAAGGACAAUGUGACCAUGUGACUGUAUUUUGGUCAACAGUAGAGGGAUAGAAUAUGUUAUUGCAAAGAGGCUUUUCUUCACCUUCUCGCAGGCUGGAACAUGAACACAGAGAGGUGAUCCAGAUUUGAUCACCUGAAUGAAGACAACAGCAAGGAAAUGGUAGGAUAAUAAAUAAGGAGAAAUCUAGCUUUAUGGACAACUUCAUAAAGCUGACCCUGGAACAUUGACUACCUCUGAACUUACAUGAGGGAGAGAAAUGUUUAUCUUUUAUAAACCUAUUACUUUUUUGAUUUCUACAUUAAAGAAACUUAGUCUAUCCUAAGUAAAGCAAGAAAUAUUCUGUAAAUCACUUUGGAGAAGAAUUUCCAAAAGGAAAGAACAUGAAAUCAACAUAUAGACAAAAUGCAGAAGAAAAUUUCAAUUAUGGAAAAGAGAGUAAAUAUUUUCAAGUUUGGCCUUUUUAAGGACACAUUGUCAAAUGUCAGUGCUCUGGAGAGAAGUUGGUUGUUUCUCAUUCUUUGUUGGUUUUGAAUAAAUCUGCUAUAAAUAUUUGUGUUGAGAUUUCUUGUGCGUGUACACAUAAGCAUUCCAAUCAGCUGUACAAUACUUAGGAGCAUAGUUCCUAGAUAGCAUGCUAAGACUAUGUUUAUAUUUGUAAGAAAAAAAAAAGACCACCAAAUUGUCUUCUAAAAUGUAUCAUUGCGACAAAAGAUUCUUACUCUAUUAAGAAUGUAUAAAGUAUAAUCUCAUUAAAGAUUAGGGAAAAGAUACUGACUUAGGUAACCUGGAAAUGAGUGGAGUCUGUAAAACUAAACGCAAAAGAACUGCACAUAAGCACUAAACUCUAGUAGGAAAUGUUGUUCCCUACAUGGGUACAGGCUAAGGAUUAUGAAACCGCGACACAUAUACACUGAAAUUUAACAGUUAGGUAAAUGGAG
rnacentral:lncRNA from 1 species